rnacentral:pre_miRNA from 1 species
AAAAGUCUAAGUGCAGUUUUAAGAUUAUCAAAGCCUAAAACUGGACCAAGGCUUUUGG